rnacentral:snRNA from 1 species
GUGCUCACUUCAGCAGCACAUACAUUAAAAUUAGAACAAUACAGAGAAAAUAAACAUGGCCCCUGCACAAAGAUGACACACAAAUUUGUGAAGCAUUCCAUAAUUUA